AUACCGGCUGCUCGAGUGAUGGCCACUAUUACUGGGUUUAAAGCGUCCGUAGCUUGACUGUUAGGUCUCUUGGGAAAUCUUUUGGCUUAACCAAAAGGCGUCUAAGAGAUACCGGCAUUCUUGGAACUGGGAGAGGUAAGCCGUACUUCGGGGGUAGGAGUGACAUCUUGUAAUCCUCGAGGGACGACCUAUGGCGAAGGCAGCUUACCAGAACAGCUUCGACAGUGAGGGACGAAAGCUGGGGGAGCAAACGGGAUUAGAUACCCCGGUAGUCCCAGCCGUAAACAAUGUGCGUUAGGUGUGUCGGUUACCACGCGUAACUGAUGCGCCGAAGAGAAAUCGUGAAACGCACCACCUGGGAAGUACGGUCGCAAGGCUGAAACUUAAAGGAAUUGGCGGGG
rnacentral:rRNA from 1 species